CAAAUGUGGAGUGAUUCAGAAGAAAAACGUUUGCAACACAUCCAUUCCAGAGUGCUCUGACAGAUAAAACUGACACGCUUGAUGAGGACACAGUCAAAGCUUUAAAAGCCCGUGUGAUAAAGCAGUCUUCAAUUACUACGGUGUCUGAAUUGCAAGAAGAAGUGACCCUCCACUUAAACAUGUGACAUCUAAACUGUUUGGUGUUUUAGUUCAGCUUUUUAAAGGUUUAUCUUAAGUUGGUUAAAGGCGGAGUGCACUACUUUUGAAAGCCAAUGUUAACAUUUGAAAUUACCUUAACAAACAUGCCUCUAUAGAAUCUGGACCUUCUUUUGAUAGAGCCAUCACACACAUACGCAACCCCGGCAAGGAUGUCGGUUAGUAGACACGCCCCUUACUGCUGGAUGGCUACA